rnacentral:lncRNA from 1 species
GAGGAAGCCUAACGGUCAUCUGUGCGCGCGGCUGCGGCUCGCCUGCCGGUCAGCGCUCCUCACAACGGGGCUGUGGGAAAAAGUAGAAUUAAAGGUGUUUUUCUCUCUCAAAUGUUUGUGAGUGAUCCUCGUCCCAGGAGUUGAGCUUUCCUUGUGACAAACACGAGCCAGUGCAGCCAAGAGGCAGUUCUCUGAGGCGAUGCAGCAGUCUCAGACGUGCAUGUUUGCCCCCUUUGCUUCUUUUUGGUCACAAGAACACUACUUCAAGAAACCGUUUUUGAUCCUAAACUAUCACGUCGAGCUAGGACUGCAGGACACAGCCAGACACCGUGAAACAGGACCGCACUCCAGCCCUGCAAAGACAACGUGGCCCGGGGUUAGGCACCCAGCAGGAGGAUCCAGCUUGACAUUUGAAAGGUAAGAUGGCACUUAAGUGAGCCCCUUUGCUUAGGCGUAACCCUCAAGUACGCAUAGCCUACGUUUAUAUAGCUUUUCCUUGCGGAACAGCUAUAUUCAUAACUGAAUAGUUAGCAUGUUUGCUAAAUACACAGGCACACAAUUUAGUACAGUAUUAAAACAGAUUAAUUUACAGGAGCGUUUUACUGUGUGCAUGUGAUAGCCUUGCAUUCUGCAGGCUCUAUCUCUGUAUUUUCUGUACAGAGGAAAAAAAAACCAAAACAAUACAGACACUGGAAUUUAGCAGUCUAAAAAGAAGAUUCAAAUACACGCAAGUUUUUCUGUGAAGUAACUGCCAACUACAUGGGUAAUGCAUAAAUAAAUGCCUACGUUAUAGCAAGCAGAAAUUUCCAUUGUAAGGAUAUGGAGUUGAACUUCAGCAUAUAUUUUAAAGACAGGGUUUAAUCAUUGGAAACAAAACCAUCAUCUGAGAUUUUCAGGACAUAGCAUAAAUAAGGGUUUCUGACCUGAAGGAGUUCUGAAAUGGAGAGGCUUCCUUUUCCACUUUUACAUCUAAGGGCAUUGAAAAUAGCUGGGUUGAACAGAACAUAAAUAGUAUUGCCCACGGCUGCAUUACAGAUCCUUCACAGAAGUAACUGUUUCACUGGGUAGAACUAACAGUUACAAGACUCCUAGGAAGCAGAUUUUCAGGAAAUAUGGCAAUACUAAUUAUUACCUCUUCCAUUCAAGCCUCUUUGUAUAAUAAAAGUUGACAUUUGGGAUAAUGAUCUACACUUGCAAAUAAAAUCUAGACUAAAAACAUCUUGGAGCUGCAAAAAGUGUUUUCUAACAGGGUUGUUUUAUGGCUUUAUCUCCACACAGAAAACUUUUAGAAUUGAUUUUGAAGCCAUUGUAUCAAUUUAUAAUAACCUUUACAGUUUCUAGGAGGUAUGUGUAGAAACGUGUUCAAUUGCUAUGCUGUGAAACAUCUGAAAAACCAGAACUAGACUGAAAAUAUAACCAUAAAUUAAUGACCACCGGCUUGAUUAACAUUUAACUGCUGACAGUCCAAUAACUUCAGUGUGGUAAAAGAGUGGUUAAAAAGAAGUAACCAACCUCACCUUGUCAAGUAGGGACAAUUUAAAUGGAAGAUGAACUCAAAUCCAGCAUCUUGGCUAUUGAAAAUGCUGGGUCUUCAAUAGCAAUAAAGAACUCCUCGGAGCUUACAUACAUAGAAUAUAUUUAAAUUAUAUGUACAUUUAUUAGUAUUUUAAAAGCAGAAAAUAGAUGCUUCAAAGUCAUAGUAAAAUGGACUACUAUAGGGAAUACAGCCAGUCAUAUAUAUGAAAUACAGUAGUCAGAUACUCAAAAUAGUGUUCUGAUUAAGAAAUAUAUUUAAUAAUAACCUUUUCAAAAAAGGUUAGAAAUAUCUACCAAAAAAUUAGAAACAAGUCUUUUCCAGCUCCCUUCUUCCCUUCGUAGAACUUUCUGAAGUAUUUUAGUACUUUCAAGUAGAAUUAUUAACACACUUGUAAGUUCUGCUCUGAAAAAGUAAUGCUGAAGAUACAGUACUGUAGGACUAUUUUUCACAUUCAGUAUCCUACUCAGUUGUUUUGGUGACAUGUUCUACUGCUUUCUUCUCAAGCAUAUGUUGGAUUCUGCUUUACACACACACACACACAAAAUCACACAAAUAUAUUCAUUCAAAAUUUUUAAUAAAAUAAAUUCAAAUACAUCUUGCUCUCUGCCCGUAACUGUAUUGUUAAAUAUAAAAAGAAAUAGAUAUUUUAAGAAACCAGAAAAAAAGUCAUAAAAGUUGAUUUGAGAUACAUAACUCAAAAUCCAGUCCAUCAAAUUUUUCAAAAUUAAGCAAGUUGAUCACAUAAUCCACCAGUUUAUUUAAUACAGCCAUUACCAAUUCCUAAAGGACACUGCUAAAAAUAUUGCAAUAAAUAAAUAACUUAUAUCACAUAAGUAAAUGCUUUACAGCUUCCCAAUUCAAGUGAAUAAAAUCAGGAGUACCAAUGCAAAUUAUGUAUAAAUGAGACUGAACAAUAACUCUCUCUAUAAGGAAUUGCAGGAGAAAAAGUGUAAUAGUCUAUUGCAUACCAUACUUUAAAAAUAACACAUACACACAUAUACAGACUCUAAUAUAAUCUUCAUUUUCCUCUCCAUAUGCCUAAAUGGUCCAUAUGCCUAAAUACAUAAGUGCAGCAGCAUGCAGUCCUGUUUGUCACCACGUUUUAAGGUAGUGACAGACCUGUUUACAAGAGCCAGUCCUUCAAAGUACGUCAUGUACUCAAAGCCUUCAAUAAACUGAAUUGAGAACAUUAAGCUCUACAGAAAAGGUACAGAAAUGCCUUGUAAGAUUACAUGCUAACUGCCUUAAGAUCUUUUCUAGCACUGGUCACUGUACAAGUUUCCCAUUUUCAUCUGUGUAGAUAUUUUUAUUUUUUUUUUUUAGAAUAGAAUGCAUGCAAAGAAACUGGUUUCUAAAUUGCAAGAUUACCAAUGAUGUUAAAUACAUCUCGUCAUUUGUUAUUGAAGAGGCUGAAAAAACUAUAUGUACCCACACGAAGAUACAUGCUUUGUUCUUAGCAUACAGAAAACUUGUACAAAAGGCAAAAAGUAAAGAUGAUUAAGUUGUGGUCUACAGAGUUCAGCUUCAACAGAGUUGGCAAGUAGUCAAAGAAGAAAAUUGUUCUAUUUUAUUCAAAUAAGUUUAAUCAAUUUAAAUGUUAAGGAAGAACAGAUGUCUAACUAGUAGCUUAGAAAGCAAUAUAAUCUUGUGUUUAACUCCUGGAGCGGUGAUAAAGCCAAACAACUAACAGCUUGAAACCUGUAGAAAAUGUGGGUGUAAUUUUAAAACUGUGCAAUUCUUAACCUUUAUCUAAUGAAGCCUAUAAGAUUAAGUGCAAAAAAUGUUUAUUGCUAACUAAUGCUUGUUAUGAUCUGCCUCCUAGUUUGACUCCAGGAAAUUAACCACAUUUUGGCAAAUAAAAUUAAGUUGUCCGAUAACAGCAGUGCCACAGUAUCAUAUAUACUUAACUUCAAGUAAUUUAUUCACCAAUAUAACUUUUACAUUAAAGCUUUAAAAAGUUCAGUUGAGGCGCAAGAAUUGUUUCAUAAGUUCAUACGUGGUAAAAGCCACAGCCUGGGAAGGGAUACAACGAAUAUAAUUCAGUGAUAGACCACGGUACAAUCCUCUUCGUAUUCCAUGUUGUUGAUACACAUAUUUCAGUGUCUGCACCAUUGUACUGGAAAAACAGGAACUUGAAUCAUUAUUGAAUAUACACAUUCGAUAGAUUGAAUCACUUUCUUAAAUACACGACAUUCUUUUACUUGGUUCUUAAAAGCAACGUACGGAAAAACAUGUGACUCCAUAUAGCAGAGCAUGACAACCCUUUUAGGACUCAUACGACAGUCUGAGCUUCUACAAGAAAUUUGGGCUCAAAGGCUGGAAAUUGGAAAGAGGAUGGUGCAAGUCCAUCUAAAGAAACCUCAGCCUGAAAAUAAUCUGCCAUAAAAGACAGAAUAAGAAAUUUUAUACCAGAAUGGUGGCUACACAUUGUUCUCUAUCUAAUAGGAAGCAGUUGAAAAGCAUCAUUUUUGUCUUACAGAGUAAGACAAUAAUAUUACUCUUCUGUAAUAUGAAGCAACAAAACUAAAUUUGCCCACUGCAGUGCACACUUCUUACAUCAAUCAUCAGUAUUCAGGUUUUGCAUCCCAUUGUUGGGUUUUUUUUUUUUUUUGAGCACAGGAUCAUACAUGUCCACUUACAGUUCUGCAGAUAAAGUUUCUAUUUAGGCCUGUACUCUAUAACUUGCACGUGUACAGCCUUCCUGCUCCAAGCAAAAACCUGUUUUCUCUUGAGAUAAAGGCAACAAUUUGUGUGAAGUAUGAUGUUUCACCUUAUUUAAAGUAGAAUUUGCAGUAGUUAUGCAAGCAGGAAGAUUUUCCUCACAUACCUAUUUGAAACUGAACAAGCAGUCAUUAAAAUGCAAAGCCUUUGAGUAAAAAUCUACGAUGCUCAACAUUUCCAAGCUAUUAAAAUCAUUACUCCUUGAGAAUAUCUUCAAUAUGCUUCAAAACUUCAAGGUUUCCUUCUAUUAUCCUCCCAUCCUCUACAGAUAAAUGGCUACUAUCCUACUCUCUCCAAACAAUUGUAACAGAAUUCUUAAGUGGGAAAGCCUAAUUGUAAAAGCCUGAGUUCUCACAAAUGCAGGAAGCAAAAUGGAAGGACAAUUAUAGCACGUUCUUAUUUUAGAAGCACCUGGAGUAGAAAGCAGUCAAGGAAAAACCCUCACACUGCUAAUGAAAAGCAGUUUGAAGCUCAGAAUGUUUUUCCACAAUGACAACUAAUUUAAUACUACGAUAUUAAGAAUAUUAUGGUACUUCAACCCCUACUGGACUGAAGCGUAUAACUAAAAAAACUGCAAGAGUUCCAAUGCAGUGCGUGCAAUGUUACUGUAAUUGAGGUUAAUCAAGCAGGUUAAAUAAAGCAGCAUUACAUAAAAUAAUAUUGAGAAUACAUUCUGCACCAUUAAAGGUAUACCUUGAAACAACAUGUCGUUUCAGUAGAAACAGGUAGUUUGUCCCUUAGGAAUCCUAGUGAUGCUGAGGAUCAGUUAGUUGAGUAAAAAUACACAUAACAUUUUUUCAUAUACAGUAUUAGUAACAACCCAAAAGCAUACUUCAAUUUUUCUGUUUAUUUUUG